AGUCGAUAAAGUUUAAGAGUUAAUCACGAUUAUUCACAUUUUUAUUCGCAUGUUUGAAAUUCCAUUCAUUUGCAUUUAAAAAUACAAAUAGUUAGGCUUUUAUUUUGAAUUCGUGUACUGUCCUUAGCUGAGACUUUUAUUUUGAAAUAAAGUAAGGCCUUUCCUGUAGAGUGAAGGUUAGAACAUGAAGUUAAGCACAGAAACAGGAAGUGGUUAGGGAUCCCAAACUGAGGUCAAACAGCUCAAAGGAACGUUAACAAAGGUCAAUGUGUGAUGUCAUAGGUCAAUGUGUGAUGUCAUAAGGUGGAUAUUACUUUGGACUUGUCAGCUGAGCUGUCUGAGAGUUUGUUAAAGUGAAAUGAGACAUUCAAAGAUGCAGCAGAGUCCUUCUUUUACAUCACUGAGACUACAGGGAGACACUGAGGACGACUAACUACGGGGAGCCUGAAGGGACAAAAGGCC